GCUGUGUUGAGGUAUUCUCGAGCCCACUCCAUUAAACACUAAUCACUAUCGACUUUCUUCAAACCUCAAAAAAUUGUAAAACUGUCAGGCAGUAAUUAAGCUGAAAGCGAAAGUGAAGUCAAGCCCACUUUUUAUUAUGCGCAAUCUUUUGGGCCUUGGCCCAAAAAGAGGAAGUGCGAUUGGACCAACCAGUAUUGAAGACUCUCUUUUGUUUUCCCUUCUUCCUCUGUGUUUAGGUGUGUAUCAUCGGAGAGUGAAGAUUCAGUUUUCGAUUUUCCGAUUCGCUUAAGUGUGCGAGUGAGGAACAUGGACGGUGCCGAAUUGCCGAACAUAAAGAAAUGGAUCGUGAUGUAUCCUGUUUACAUAAAUUCCAA